rnacentral:lncRNA from 1 species
UUCAUGCAAAAAAUCAGAUCAAUUGGAGGUCAAGAAGCAUGGUAAUGAAAAUCAUGAAGUUGGGCAUCAAUGGUGUGACACAAAUUGUCACACCCUAAUUCAAAAAUUCAUAACUCACAAACCACAAAUGAUAAAUUCACAAACUUUACACCAAAAUCACCACGAGUGUGUCUAGUUUGAGCACAAAAAAUUUGGGAGCCAUUGGAUGCAUUCUCAUCAUUUCACAAUUGAUUUGGCAAAGUGUACAAAAUUUGGUCACAUGUCAC